CGAAAUGAGUUGAUUGCAUUUAAGAGUGUUGAUUACAUCGUUAAACUAUCAAGCAAAGCCUUUUUGGUGUGAAAAUCUGAGGAAAAUCGUUAUUAAUUCUGAUACUACUUAUAUUCCGCUUGUCAUUGAUGUUCGUUGCCGAUUUCCCAAAGAUCGCAAUCAGCUGACUGCGUGGCAGUUUGUGUGUUCUUGCGCCCUGCAUGUUUGGUACGUCCGCAAAUAUUUGAAACGCGGAGUGAACCCAAAACAGCAGCAAUGGCCACCCGCAACUGGAAUCUGGAGUGCAAGGUGUAUGUUGGAAAUCUGGGCAACAGCGCUGCCAAGAAUGAGAUUGAAGAUGCCUUCAGCAAGUACGGUAAUCUGCGCAACGUGUGGAUCGCGCGCAACCCACCUGGCUUUGCAUUUGUGGAGUUUGAGGACCCACGGGAUGCUGAGGACGCUGUGCGAGGACUGGACGGAACUCGGCUGUGCGGCGAGCGGGUCCGUGUGGAGAUGUCGUCCGGCAAGAGCCGCAGCCGCGGUGGUAUGCGCGGCGGCGGCGGCGGCUACGGCGGUGGUGGUUUCGGCGGCAGGAGAUUUCCAUCACACCACCACCCCUUGCCUCCGUCCAUCACACUUCACGGCCUAGCGUGGGUCACGUGACGCGGUCAGGUGACCCCUGACCCGCGACGUGACCCGGCCCAUCAAGGGACUCUCGGCUCACCCCCAUCUUGCGUCUCACACAUCGCCUCUUCGCGUCGUGUCACUCGUUUGCGUUAAUGGCCGCAUUAGCUACGUACUUGCUUCGUGGGCCCACCAUUCUCCGCUCCUCUGCGCUUCGCUCCCUCCGCUUAUGUCGAAGCAAGUAAGUGAGCACACCACCAGCGACGUAGAUGGGGAUGCUCAAUAUCGUUCGAUCAAUUCUCAGGUUAUACUGCACAAACAGUUCUAAUGAUUCAAAUGUUAUAUUUUAUUUUCGAUGUUAUAAUUUAUAAUCAUAUUAUUAUUCAUAUUGACGCAGAUGGAGCGGAUUUCUAUGACCAAUCAUUCUCUUCCUGACAGGAUAAAUGUGACGUAAAGGAGCUGAGUAUAACAGAUAUCGAAACGCUGUGUUUCGUUAACUUUCCACCCUUUCAGAGAUAUCGGUGCCUUUUCCGUUCAUGGGAUGGGGCCCGGUGCCUGGAGGCAGACUGUGGUUCCAUGCUAACACGGUCAGUGGGCCAGUGCUCCGGCCCAUACCGGAGCCGUGUGUGUAUGUCUGUGUGCGCUGUCUGACACUGUGCUGUGUGCGUGUGUUGGUGCAGGUCGCCAGGCCGUCGCUCCAUCUCGCCGCGGCGCCGGUCACGCAGCCGCAGCCCGCGUGGUUCGCCCGUCUACGACCGCUACAGGAGGUCCAGGAGCCGCGACUGAAGAGGUCCGCCGCCACCGACACUGACCGCUGUUGUCACCGUUUGACGCCCCCGGAUGACGCCGGCACCCCCUUACCCCUCCCCAGCGCCGCCCAUAUCCCCUUCCCGCUUCUGAAGCGUGCGCGCUCAGAGGCCGGCCACGAGCCCCGCAGAAUAUCAGCUGUCUAUGAUCUGGCUGGUGGUGUAAUUUGCAUGACUGAUGAGUUCAGCUCACGGUAGCGGUUUGUGGCAUUCCAUUAUUUCAUCUGAGUUCGUGACGUCGGUGUGUAAACGUCAGAAAUACACGUCAUCUUCCGAA